rnacentral:ribozyme from 1 species
UGUAGCUUUCAUGUAAUGGGAUGGCCCCGAAGCCCCUUGAGGGAUAAUAUAGGUUCUCCCAUCCAACUCCUCCCUAGACAUAUCCUUCUCGUGCAGAGUGGUCCCUCCAAAGCUGUCCAAAACCAUCCUGAACCGUCGAAGCCGUUCGAAGCCGUUCGGA